rnacentral:rRNA from 1 species
AACGAACGCUGGCGGCAUGCCUAACACAUGCAAGUCGAACGAGACCUUCGGGUCUAGUGGCGCACGGGUACGUAACGCGUGGGAACCUGCCCUUAGGUUCGGAAUAACUCCCCGAAAGGGGUGCUAAUACCGGAUAAUGUCUUCGGACCAAAGAUUUAUCGCCUUUGGAUGGGCCCGCGUUGGAUUAGCUAGUUGGUAGGGUAAAAGCCUACCAAGGCGACGAUCCAUAGCUGGUCGGUGAGGAUGAUCAGCCACACUGGGGCUGAGACACGGCCCAGACUCCUACGGAAGGGAGCAGUGGGGAAUAUUGGACGAGGGGCGAAAGCCUGAUCCAGCAAUGCCGCGUGAGUGAUGAAGGCCUUAGGGUUGUGAAGCUCUUUUACCCGGGAUGAUAAUGACAGUACCGGGAGAAUAAGCUCCGGCUAACUCCGUG